rnacentral:tRNA from 1 species
GGAGGCGUCAGGGUUCCUGGUGGGCCCCGCGGUCUUCAACACCGUAGUGGGGGCGCAAGCUCCCAGGCGGGUUCGAUUCCCGUCCGCCUCCG